UGCUGUUGUAAACACGACAAUUGUACUAAUUUAUUCUUUUUACAUUUUAGAUUUGACCAUCAUCAAGUCUGGUCUAAACUGCAGACCAUCACCACAUUUUCACUGCUGCUAUUGCAUUUCAACAGUAAUCAGACGGGAUGGUAUUAUUAAAGCUUUUAAAACCUAUAAAAACAUCCGGACAGCCUCCAUUGCCAGCAGCACCACCACCACCUCCAACAAGAUUACGUGUCUGACAACAAAUCAGGGUGACUUGCACACACUUUGGAAUUCAGAUAUAUCAAAGGAACUUGCUGGUUCAUAUUAACAGAAGACACUGGCAAAAGGUGUGAGGAGUGAUGGAACAAUACUUAUGUGAUUUCAUGAACUGAACUUUGUCAUGCAUUAUGAAGAGGAAGGGGACGUUCUCUUUAAAACCAUAACAUUUUUAUUGCAAUAUUAUCAAUUAUGUCUUUAUUUGGAUUUGAAUGGCCAUAUUGUUAUUUAAUCUAGAAUGUAUUGUUUUGUUGUAUUUCUUUAGAAAAUUGGUAAAUUCCAUUUGUCCAGCAGGCCAUUGGAACAUGUCUGUACUGACAGAUUUUGAGGCUCUCUGUUAUGCUCUCAAGGCCAUUUGGUUUUGCUUUGUCAAAUCCCACAGCCAGUUGCCCAAGAAAGAAAUAUGAAACAGAAGUCACUCCACCUGAGUCAGAUGAGAUUACCCCAACACCAACAAUC